GCAGCCGGUGGCACAGUGUCUGUCUAGGUUGUUGGCAGUCACUGAGGCCUAUCAAGAGGGAAACCAUCAUUCGUACUGUAUGGCUGAGGAAGAUACAAGGGCUUUUGUCCAUUUCACACUCUAGUCAAUGUCUAUACUGGGCUUUGAACCCAGGUCGGUGUGAUUCCUUGCAUAUCACCUAUCUGAAAAGUGGCUUCCAAUUCCUAAAAUGACAUCAGGAAUGCCUCCUAGAUGGGCACUGGUGAGUCUUCCAUUUGACUGUCUUAUAUGAGAAACUACUGAAACUCAACAAAGAUCAUGAAAGAAAGUUCUAGGCCAGUCUCAUCACCACUGAGGCAAGAAUCUGGAACAGAUCCAGCAAUAUACUAAAGAUCAUCAGCAUGGCCACAUCAGCCCUUGGAUCUCCUCCUCAUGCCACCCAGAACAGAUCCCAGCAGAAGCCAGAAAAAAAGAACACCAACUGAUGAAGUUAAGCUCCUGGGAUCAGAGCCAGAGAAAGCUGGAGAGUGGAUAUGCAGAGUCAGCAAAUCAUUUACCUCAACACUUAAGCUAGUUUUCCCAGCAGUUGAAGAAUUUCAGAUUCCUCAUCAUAGGUCAAUCACCUACACAAGUACAGAAGGUCUGAAAAUGAAGUGACUGCAGCUUAUCAAAGCACCCCAAAGAAGGGGGUUUUGUAAUCUCCCUGUGUGACAAAUUAGUAGUUUAUUCUUUGGGUCUUUUCAGGUAAUUCACAUUAAAAUUCACCAAUGGCUCCUCACAGCUUUUAAAAAAGGUCAAACCCUUAGUAUAUCAACUAUGGCAUCAACUACGGCCCUUCUCGAGCUCUUUGGCUUGAUGUUUCCAUUUUCUCCCUUUUUUUUUUUCCCCCACCAAAUAACUUUCAAUUAUCCCAGUGGGUCAGUUCUUUCCUGCCUCCUUGGCCUUGGAAUGUUGUUCUUCUUCCUGGAAAUCCCAGUAACCCUCUCCACCUCAAUAUCUCCUCAAUAUCCCAAGCAGGUACUGUUUGCUCAGUCUUUUUCAUUGAGACCAUGUUUCCAGGAGAGGAGGUGGGAGCAGGGGGGCGGGGGGUAUCAGUGCAGAUUCACUGGAGGCCAGCGGAGGGAUUGGAGCCUGUGGAAACCACCUCCUGUGGGCUUGUUGAAGGGGGCCUUCUUCCAUCCACCAUGUCACCCAAAAGAGUUUAAACCCUCCGGUGCCAGGCCAGUCUGUUUAGGAGUUCUUCUGAGGUUCUUCCCUAUGAUUGCCAAUGUCAUCUAAUGGAUUAUACUGCCAUAUUUAGAAAUGUAUUUGUCUAUAUCUUUUUACCUUUUGAUGAAAUCCAUAUUCAUCUUUUUCUCUCAUAUAGAUUUCAUGCGUCAUGGGCACCCAUACCCCCUUGUUGAAUGAAUGUAUAAAUGUUGAGUUUACGUCCUUUA